rnacentral:hammerhead_ribozyme from 1 species
AUUCAGCUGACAAGUCCCAAAUAAGAUGAAAUGUGCGUCCUGAAU